rnacentral:lncRNA from 10 species
UCAUUGCAGAAUCUUAGAAUUGGUGCGGAGCUAUAAGGAUCCUCAGAGGUCACAUUGGUGAUGCAUCCUCUUUAUCAUUCCGAUGAGAAGCACAGGUGUGAAGUGACUCCAGGAUUGCGGAGCUAGUGUGGAGCACUGUGUUAACCUGUACCCUUUCAAUUAAAUAGGCUUUUUCCCAGGAAGUGCUCAAAGCUGUGAGGCAUUUCUCCGCCACAAGAUGACCCUGAUUUCCCCGUUAAUGCUGAAGAAAUAUGGAAUUCCCUUUGACAAGGUGACUCAAGAGGCUGGAGAGUUUAUGAUCACUUUCCCUUAUGGUUACCAUGCCGGCUUUAACCAUGGUUUUAACUGUGCGGAGUCUACCAAUUUUGCUACCCGUCGGU